UACGUAGGGUGCAGGCGUUAAUCGGAAUUACUGGGCGUAAAGCGCGCGUAGGUGGUUUGUUAAGUUGGAUGUGAAAGCCCCGGGCUCAACCUGGGAACUGCAUUCAAAACUGACAAGCUAGAGUAUGGUAGAGGGUGGUGGAAUUUCCUGUGUAGCGGUGAAAUGCGUAGAUAUAGGAAGGAACACCAGUGGCGAAGGCGACCACCUGGACUGAUACUGACACUGAGGUGCGAAAGCGUGGGGAGCAAACAGG
rnacentral:rRNA from 1 species